rnacentral:piRNA from 1 species
GGCAGAGGCAGGUGAAUCUCAGGAGUUUGA